rnacentral:rRNA from 1 species
ACACGUAGGUGGCGAGCGUUAUCCGGAAUUACUGGGCGUAAAGGGCGCGCAGGCGGUCAUUUAAGUUUGACGUGAAAGCUCCUGGCUUAACUGGGAGAGGUCGUUGGAAACUGAAUGGCUUGAGGCAAUGAGAGGGGUGCGGAAUUCCCGGUGUAGUGGUGGAAUGCGUAGAUAUCGGGAGGAACACCAGUGGCGAAAGCGGCACCCUGGCAUUGACCUGACGCUGAAGUGCGAAAGCGUGGGGAGCGAACGGGAUUAGAUACCCCGGUAGUCCACGCUGUAAACGAUGAAUACUAGGUGUGGGUGGUGUCAAAGCCAUCUGUGCCGAAGCAAACGCGAUAAGUAUUCCGCCUGGGGAGUACGGCCGCAAGGCUAAA